rnacentral:rRNA from 1 species
GAUCUGGCUCAGAUUGAACGCUGGCGGCAGGCCUAACACAUGCAAGUCGAACGGUAGCACAGAGAGCUUGCUCUCGGGUGACGAGUGGCGGACGGGUGAGUAAUGUCUGGGAAACUGCCUGAUGGAGGGGGAUAACUACUGGAAACGGUAGCUAAUACCGCAUAACGUCGCAAGACCAAAGAGGGGGACCUUCGGGCCUCUUGCCAUCAGAUGUGCCCAGAUGGGAUUAGCUAGUAGGUGGGGUAACGGCUCACCUAGGCGACGAUCCCUAG